CUGACUUUCACUUACAGUUCGACUACAUCCUGUGGUUAGCGCUUGUAAAGCAAUCUGAGAAGUAUCAACAUCUUCCUUGCUGCACGACAAGUCUCAAAUUUGGACAAGUAACAGCAACACAGCGUUAAUGACUAACACAUGACUAAACCAAGUGGGCCUCUGCAGUCCUAGCCAACCUCCUCUGCUUCUGACUGAAUGGCUGAAAAGAACUGCCUCUUCUUGCAACUGGUUAGGUAAAUGGAAUCAAGACACA